GACCGGAAACGGUGUUCACGCCGCAUCCGGCAUUCGGUGCUCAAUGCCUGAUGCGACGCUUACCGCGUCUUAUCAGGCC
rfam:Escherichia coli str. K-12 substr. MG1655, complete genome.